rnacentral:tRNA from 1 species
UGAAUCCUCAAAAAUCCUUCAAA